GACAGAGGUGCCAAGCGUUAGGCGGAAUCACUGGGCUUAAAGCGUGUGUAGGCGGAUCGUUAAGUACCUUGUGAAAUCCCACGGCUCAACCGUGGAACUGCUGGGUAUACUGGCGAUCUUGAGCCAGCUAGGGGCGACCGGAACAAACGGUGGAGCGGUGAAAUGCGUAGAUAUCGUUUGGAACGCCAACGGUGAAAACAGGUCGCUGGGGCUGUGCUGACGCUGAGACACGAAAGCCAAGGGAGCAAACGGG
rnacentral:rRNA from 1 species